rnacentral:lncRNA from 1 species
GGCUCCCCAGGAUUUGGCCUUCAAGGUUCAAUGGCUCAGUGUCAGGAAGAGAUUGAAUUUUUAGGUUUCACUUCAUUAUGGCCUAUAGGUUUGAAUGCAAUGGAGCUAGAAAUCAAACAGUGUUGGUGCUGGCUGCAUUAAACUUCACACACUCAAUCAGCUCUCUGUGGGCACUCUUUUUUUUUUUUUUUUUUUUAAAGGUACCUUAAGCUGAAGCAUGAAAAACAAUUUAUCCAUGAGCACUUUAAGAAAAAAAAAAACAGGGAAAUAUGAAUGUACUGAAAUACCUCCCCCAAUUUUUCAUCAAAUUUCUUUGAUACUGCACAAGAUUCAUCUGUUAAGUUGCACAACUAGGCUUCCCAAUUUGGGACUUCUAUGAUCAUAGGUACUCUAAACAGGUUAGAAUUAGGUUAGGGUUGUGUUAGAUCUAGUGUUAGAGUGAG